ACUAGAAUGAAUGGCUAAAUGAAGACCCAACUGUCUCUUGCAGCCCACCAAUGAAACUGAUCCCCUAGUCCAAAAGCUAGGAUUUUCCCACAAGACGAGAAGACCCUGUGGAGCUUAUAAACCAAAACCAUAAAGCUUGGCCUCUUGGUUUUUAGUUGGGGCGACUUCGGAGUAUAAAAACCCCUCCGACAUGGCACUAGCCUGACUCAGAUGGACACACAAAAACACAAAAAGACCCAGUAGUUAAAACUAACUGAUCAAUGAACCAAGUUACCCCAGGGAUAACAGCGCCAUCCUCUCUUAGAGUCCCUAUCGACGAGAGGGCUUACGACCUCGAUGUUGGAUCAGGACAACCUAAUAGUGCAACCGCUAUUAACG
rnacentral:rRNA from 1 species